ncrna:Prochlorococcus marinus str. MIT 9515 Glutamine-II riboswitch (downstream peptide RNA)
UUUCGUUCACCCAUAAUAUUGGGCGCAGUUCGAGUCAUACCAGGGAACGGGGGAUGAC